rnacentral:rRNA from 1 species
AUUCGAUGCAACGCGAAAAACCUUACCUACCCUUGACAUGCCUGGAAUCCUGCAGAGAUGUGGGAGUGCUCGAAAGAGAACCAGGACACAGGUGCUGCAUGGCCGUCGUCAGCUCGUGUCGUGAGAUGUUGGGUUAAGUCCCGCAACGAGCGCAACCCUUGUCAUUAGUUGCUACGAAAGGGCACUCUAAUGAGACUGCCGGUGACAAACCGGAGGAAGGUGGGGAUGACGUCAGGUCCUCAUGGCCCUUAUGGGUAGGGCUACACACGUCAUACAAUGGCCGGUACAGAGGGCUGCCAACCCGCGAGGGGGAGCUAAUCCCAGAAAACCGGUCGUAGUCCGGAUCGCAGUCUGCAACUCGACUGCGUGAAGUCGGAAUCGCUAGUAAUCGCGGAUCAGCUUGCCGCGGUGAAUACGUUCCCGGGUCUUGUACACACCGCCCGUCACACCAUGGGAGCGGGUUCUGCCAGAAGUAGUUAGCCUAACCGCAAGGAGGGCGAUUACCACGGCAGGGUUCGUGACUGGGGUGAAGUCGUAACAAGGUAGCCGUAUCGGAAGGUGCGGCUGGAUCACCUCCUU